UACGUAGGGGGCAAGCGUUGUCCGGAAUCAUUGGGCGUAAAGAGCGUGUAGGCGGUCCGUUAAGUCGGCUGUGAAAUCCCCGGGCUCAACCCGGGAACUGCGUCCGAUACUGGAAGGCUUGAAUCCGGGAGAGGGAUGUGGAAUUCCAGGUGUAGCGGUGAAAUGCGUAGAUAUCUGGAGGAACACCGGUGGCGAAGGCGACAUCCUGGACCGGUAUUGACGCUGAGGCGCGAAAGCCAGGGGAGCAAACGGG
rnacentral:rRNA from 1 species